rnacentral:lncRNA from 1 species
AUCACCGUCAUCAUCACCAUCAUCAUCAUCAUCUUCACCAGCAUCACGGUGAUAAACACGGAACGUAAAGACGGGGACCCCAAACAUAAUAUACUCACCAUCACGCAAAGCAGCCAGAUAGAAGAUAAGAGGUGUUGUUAGGGAGAGCAAGAAAGAAAGAAAAAAAAAAGAGAAUCGGAGACCUAACGAUCAACCUGGGACUUGGAUCUUUAUUAACCCUCGGUAGCAUUGACCCGGAAGUCACACCAAAGCCUCGUUUUCAGUGCGGAUGUGAGGCGGAUGAAGUGAGGGAGACAGAUAAAAACAGAAACAGGGAACGACAUAAAGUGAUAUAGAAAUAGAAGACAUGGACUAUGAAAGAGAAAGGAGUUAGAAAGUAAUGUGAGAGAGGCGGAAGCUGUUGCACGGCAGCACUACAGUAGCGCACCACCACCGUUACACUGGGUUAACUCCAUCCGACCAACGCAAGCCAUACAUACACACAAUAUAUAUAUAUAUAUAUUUCCGUCCACCCCAAUUUAGCUGCGGAAUUUUUUUUUUUCUAGAAACAAAAUUAAUAAUAAUAAUUUUUGAUGGAAGAAUCGAGCAGCAGUGAACCGCCUAGAUGCCCUUGUGGAUUUUGGGGGUCUCCCAAAACCCUUGGGCUCUGCUCAAAGUGUUACAAGGGUAAGUACAUA